UUUGAAAUCUGGCUCCCCAACGGGACCCGAGUUGUAAUUUGCAGAGGGUGCUUCGGCGCUGGCCCCGACCUAAGUUCCUUGGAACAGGACGUCACAGAGGGUGAGAAUCCCGUACGUGGCCGGUGGCCUCCGCCUUGUGAAGCCCCUUCGACGAGUCGAGUUGUUUGGGAAUGCAGCUCUAAAUGGGAGGUAAAUUUCUUCUAAAGCUAAAUACUGGCCAGAGACCGAUAGCGCACAAGUAGAGUGAUCGAAAGAUGAAAAGCACUUUGGAAAGAGAGUCAAAAAGCACGUGAAAUUGUUGAAAGGGAAGCGCUUGCAGCCAGACGCGCCCGCAGUUGCUCAUCCAGGCUCACGCCUGGUGCACUCUUCUGCGGGCGGGCCAGCAUCGGUUCGGGCGGCUGGAUAAAGGCCCUGGGAAUGUGGCUCUCUCCGGGGAGUGUUAUAGCCCGGGGCGGCAUGCAGCCAGCCUGGACCGAGGACCGCGCUUCGGCGAGGAUGCUGGCGUAAUGGCCGCAAGCGGCCCGUCUUGAAACACGGACCAAGGAGUCUAACAUCUAUGCGAGUGUUUGGGUGUCAAGCCCGGGCGCGGAAUGAAAGUGAAUGGAGGUGGGAACCCUCGGGUGCACCAUCGACCGAUCCUGAAGUCUUCGGAUGGAUUUGAGUAAGAGCAUAGCUGUUGGGACCCGAAAGAUGGUGAACUAUGCCUGAAUAGGGUGAAGCCAGGGGAAACUCUGGUGGAGGCUCGCAGCGGUUCUGACGUGCAAAUCGAUCGUCAAAUUUGGGCAUAGGGGCGAAAGACUAAUCGAACUAUCUA
rnacentral:rRNA from 1 species